UGGGGCGUAGCCAAGCGGCAAGGCAAUGGGUUCUGGUCCCAUGAUCCUAGGUUCGAAUCCUAGCGCCCCAGCCA
rnacentral:tRNA from 2 species